rnacentral:rRNA from 1 species
AUGAACGCUGGCGGCGUGCCUCAUACAUGCACGUCGAGCGAACAGACGAGGAGCUUGCUCCUCUGACGUUAGCGGCGGACGGGUGAGUAACACGUGGAUAACCUACCUAUAAGACUGGGAUAACUUCGGGAAACCGGAGCUAAUACCGGAUAAUAUAUUGAACCGCAUGGUUCAAUAGUGAAAGACGGUUUUGCUGUCACUUAUAGAUGGAUCCGCGCCGCAUUAGCUAGUUGGUAAGGUAACGGCUUACCAAGGCAACGAUGCGUAGCCGACCUGAGAGGGUGAUCGGCCACACUGGAACUGAGACACGGUCCAGACUCCUACGGGAGGCAGCAGUAGGGAAUCUUCCGCAAUGGGCGAAAGCCUGACGGAGCAACGCCGCGUGAGUGAUGAAGGUCUUCGGAUCGUAAAACUCUGUUAUUAGGGAAGAACAAAUGUGUAAGUAACUAUGCACGUCUUGACGGUACCUAACCAGAAAGCCACGGCUAACUACGUG